rnacentral:rRNA from 1 species
UACGAAGGGUGCAAGCGUUAAUCGGAAUUACUGGGCGUAAAGCGCACGUAGGCGGAUCGUUAAGUCGGGGGUGAAAUCCUGGAGCUCAACUCCAGAACUGCCUUCGAUACUGGCGAUCUUGAGUCCGGAAGAGGUGAGUGGAACUCCUAGUGUAGAGGUGGAAUUCGUAGAUAUUAGGAAGAACACCAGUGGCGAAGGCGGCUCACUGGUCCGGUACUGACGCUGAGGUGCGAAAGCGUGGGGAGCAAACAGG